GCCAAAGGUUACCAGUAUAUUACUGUGAGCAUAAUUUUUCUAUUUCCCUCUCGUCUCUUCAUUACCAUUCCUGUUAUUUACAUCUUGCGAUCUUUACCGUUUUUUAUGUAACACACACACACAUGUGUGUGUGUGUGUGUAUAUAUACAUAUAUAUAUAUAUAUGUAUAUAUAUGUAUAUAUAUAUAUAUAUGUAUAUAUAUAUAUAUAUAUAUAUAUACACUGAAGGCACACCCCGUCGGUCCUUCAUAUUUUCUUACGACUUUUCGUAUUUGUUUUUCUUGUAAUUCAUUCUUAGUUUUCUUCAUUCUUCCUUUUUCAUUCAUUGUCAUUCCUGUUGUUGUUGUUGUUGUUGAUCCACUUCUUCUACUUCCAUUUCAGUCUUCUUCUUCUUCUUCUUCUUCUUCUUCUUCUUCUUCUUCUUCUUCUUCUUCUUCACCUCCUUCUUCUUCUUCUUCACCUUCUUCUUCCUUUUCGUCUUCUUCUUCUUCACCUUCUUCUUCCUUUUCGUCUUCUUCUUCUUCUUCUUCUUCUUCUUCUUUUUCUUCUUCUUCUUCUUCUUCUUCACCUUCUUCUUCCUUUUCGUCGUCUUCUUCUUCUCCUUCUUCUUAUUCUUAUCCUUCUUCUUCUUCUUCUUCUUCUUCUUCUUCUUCUUCUUCUUCUUCUUCUUGUUCUUCUUCUUCUUUAAUCUUCUUCUCCUUCUUCUUUAAUCUUCUUCUUCUUCUUCUUCUUCUUGUUCUUCUUCUUCUUUAAUCUUCUUCUCCUUUAAUCUUCUUCUUCUUCUUCUUCUUCUUCUUUUUCUUCUUCAUCAUCAUCAUCAUCAUCAUCUUCUUCUACUUCUACUUCUUCUUUUUCUCCUUCUUCUUCUUCUUCCUCCUCCUCCUCUUCUUCUUCGUCUCGUUCUUAACUUCCUUGCAGUUGUUUGUUGUUGUUGUUGUUGUUGUUGUUGUUGUUGUUGUUGUUGUUGUUGUUGUUGCUGUUGUUGUUAUUGUUGCUGCUGUUGUCGUUGUGCAAUUCCAUCCUUACCAAUUUCCAUCCCUACCCCCCCCUCCAAUCCUUACAGACAUUUCAUCAAAGACCUUUCAAAGCGUGACCACCUCCCCUUCUCUUAUUUCUUUUUAAUUUUCAAUUUUUACAUUUCAUCCUUUGAUGUCAUCGUGUCUCUUGGACUACGCUAUCAAUUGUGUCCGCUUUUUUAUAUUUUUACAUUUUCUUCAUAACAACAUUUAGGAGUGUUUUCAAAUUUUUAGGAAGAUUUAGCUUCUAUUUCUAGCACACGUACCAUCCACAUAAACACGUCCCCUUUGGAGAAUUUCUCGAUGUUGUUGUUAUUAUUGUUAUCGAUGUGGCUGUAGCUAACGUUUCAUACUGUUAUUGUUAUCAUUAUCAUCAUGGCUAUCGCUGUUCUUUAACCCUGAGAAAACCUAGAAACACGAGACCUUAUUUAUAAUCGAAACGAAUUCCAGCCGUGACCUCUACGCCGGCUAUAUUACCUCACUACACGCAAGAAAUGUUACCUCUCCCGUCUAAUAUCAAUCAUUCUCUAGUAAGCGCACGUGCUGUGAUUUAAAGGGGAUUUGGCUGCUAUUACUAACACCGGGAGCUACCAGACUGACCCUCCUGUGUUCAGAACAGAGUUGGUGUUGUUGGUGUUGUUGUUGUCUUGCUUUUUGUUUGUUUAUAUCCUUGUUUAUUUUCUUUUUUAUAAAAAUAUUCUUUCACCCUUCAUCCACAGUUUGUCGUACCUUUUCGCAUAUCAUAUCUAUAUCUAUAUAUGUAUAUAUAUGUAUAUAUAUAUAUAUAUAUAUAUACAUAUAUAUAUACAUAUAGAUAUAUAUAUAUAUAUAUAUAAAAAUAUAUAUAUAUAUAUAAUAUAUAUAUAUAUAUAUAUAUAUAUAUAUAUAUAUACAUAUAUAUAUAUAUAUAUAUAUAUAUAUAUAUAUAUAUGUAUAUAUAUAUAUAUAUAUAUAUAUAUAUAUAUAUAUAUAUUAUAUUGUUUAUCUAGUUUCAGCUCAUGAGCUGUGGCCAUACUGGAGCACCGCCAUUAUAUAUAUAUAUAUAUAUAUAUAUAUGCUCUUUUACGCUUUCACUUGUUUCAGUCGUUUGACUGCGGCCAAGCUGGAGCACCGCCUUGCCUUUAGUCGAGCAAAUCGACCGCAGGAUUAUUCUUUGCAAGCCUAGUACUUACUCUAUCGAUCUUCUUUUGCCGAUCCGCCAUGUUACGGGGACGUAAACACUCCACCAUCGGUUGUCAAGCGAGGUUGUUGGUGGUGGGGGACAAAAACAGACACAAAAACGUAUACACACACACACACAUACAUAUAUGCAUAUAUGACGGGCUUCUUUUCAGUUUCCGUCUGCCAAAUCCACUCACAAGUCUUUGGUCGGCCCGAGGCUAUAGCAGAAGACACUUGCCCAAGAUGCCACGCAAUGGGUCUGAACCCAGAACCAUGUGGUUGGCAAGCAAGCUACUUACCACACCGCCACUCCUUCGCAUAUAU
rnacentral:lncRNA from 1 species